GAUGGGCUUUGAUAGGUCAGGGUGUAACUCACCUCAUGACUGAGAAGCCCAAAACACAGGAUGCCAAAGCAGAAAAACCUAAGGAUCCCCCACCGUAUACACCACCCCCUCCUACUGCACCACCAUCCUCUCAUUCAUCUGCUGGAUUAUAUCCAGUUUUACAAAUAACUCAAGGCACACUGGCCAUAACAGACAUGCCUGAUUCCCCUGAGGCGUGGUCUGAUGACAGCUCUCACACGUCCCAAGUGAGUAGUGUGUCUGCUUUACCCUCGGGAGUUAGCACCCGUGAAGGGCCUCCAGAGGCCCCUGCCCUUUCACCUUUCCAGCUGCGAAAGGACAGAGAACUGAGCUGCGACGGAGCACUAUGUGUUGCAGCUGAAGCCCCGCUGUCACACAGAACACAGACACCAGACAUUGUGAACACAAAGCAGGGAGAAAUAGACAAGGUGCAACAGUUGCAGGAGGAAUUAAAGGAGUUGCGGGCUGCUAUAGCUCAGGACUUAACACCACACACAUAUGCACACGCUAACCCCCAAUUUGGAGACGCUACACUUCACGUGGGAGGCGUGCGGAAAGAUGGAUCACAGGAAGGGAGGACAGCUGGAAUUCAGAUGCAGGUCGAGGGUGUUUGGUCCGCGGAGCAGGGAGAGAUGUUUGAACUAUUACAGAGACAGGCCAAGGCUACUGAGGAGUGGUUGAAAACACAUGAAGCUGAACACUUAGCACACAGACGCAAAACACACCACAUGACAACUAGAUCUCAAGGACAUGAUAAUACACAGACACUCAACCAUCAGUUACCACUGAUUCAAACUGAACACCAGAUCAAAUAUCGUCCAUUCCCACUAGGUGAUGUACAGGCACUAGUGGAUAAAUUACCUCCAGUGGCCGAAGGUGGAGCAAUGUGGCUGAGUCAACUUGACAGUCUGACAGCAGGUCACAGACUCGCUCUAGGUGAUUUUCGGGCCGUUAUUUCUAGGUGUCUUACAGCUUCAGAAGUGAGGGACAUAGAGGAGGACGCCGCCACUACUAGACAGAGAGAUGACACACCUUUCACUCAGGUCAGCACUGAAAUAGGCAGAGCACUAAGACAUAAAUAUCCUCUGCCUGCUGGAGCCGCCGUUCCCACUUUGAAAUGGGACCCCAAACAGAGUCCAAGAGAAUAUCUUAAUCAAAGCAAAGACACAUGGAUCAAACACACCGGGUGCCACCCUGGUAACCCAGGCAUUCAGAGGGUGUGGUACAGGACCGCCGUCCUAAACGGGGUUCCUGAGACUGUAAAAACUGCCAUGGAUAAUAACCCAGACAUGGCAGGGUGUGAUUCCAGUGUGUGGGAGAGACAUCUAGUACAUCACUUGGCACGUGCCCAAGACGCAGCACAAGCUGACAGUAAAGAUGUCCAGGAUUUGCAAGCACAAUUAUUGAAACUGCAAUUGACUGAGGCCAGACAGAAGGCCAAUGACAAAAAGAAAGAUAAAAAUAAUAAAGUCAUGGUUGUCACUGAAAGCUCUGACGCACCUCCGGUCACACCUUGGGUGCCUCCAUCACCUUAUUCUCCUGAUUAUCAGCAGCCUACGGGGUCCUACAGGGGGUACGGAUCAGGGAGGGGCAGAUGGAGAGACAGG
ensembl:lncRNA